UCUCCACCCUGCUCUGCGCUUUUAGCCUCUUUACAGUGCUGCCUUGUCUUCUCGCGUUCAAGCAGCAUUGUACAGGGCUAUGACGGCGCAGAGAGCAUGACA